CAGUCCCCGACCGUGUUAGUUCUGGAGUGGCUUAUGGGAUGCGGACCCCUCCUUGUCCGCCCCUCCUUAACCAUACCAGGUCCAUUUCUAAUGGCAUUGCUUUUCCCCUACAUUAUUUUCAAUAGGAUAUUUUGGUUCUUCUGUGGAAUACUAUGGUAAAAAUGAAAAGAAAAUUUUUCUUAUUCCAGUAAGGACAAAUGGGGACAAGUCAGGAGCCUCAGAAAAUCUCAAUAGGAGAGAAACUCCAGUUUUCAAUUCCUGGAUGCCUAUCUGAGAUUUCAGCUCUUGCCUCACAUAGUUACAAGGAGGAAUGCUUUGUGGGGACACCAAUCUGAGCUAAGGCCUCUUGGAAGCACAUGGCCCGAUGGAGGAGGGACUGCGAGCUGCGGCUGGGAAUUGCUGACAUGAAUUACUGCUGCGUAUUCCAAAAGUCCGCUGAACCAAUGGGGAGCCAGGCGCUGGAGAGAGGGUCUGUCGUCUUCCUCACAACGUUUCUAAAUCUACAGAUGGCGAUGAGGAAGUGGUGCGCUUAUUUUUCAUAUUUUCUGAUAAGGUGCCAACAGAACUGACUUGCCAUUUUAAUGUAUGUCAUCUUUCCUGCAGUCACUGAGUGGCCUCGGACGGCUGUGGUUGAUCACUGGGGGCGAGCUGGACCCUCGCCCUUGAACAAAGUGCAGGGCCAGCGUCCUGGAGCCCGACUUCCUUACAUUAACCACCCUUGGGAGGGCUGACCCCAGGGCAGUGGAGGGUUCUGCAGCACCCUUCUGAGGUGGGGAGGCGCUGGCACCCAGCCAGCUUCCAAGGUGGACCCCUGCUGGAGGGAUGGAGAACAGGAAAGAAGAGGCUUGGAACAGACAGAAUUCUCACCCCGAGGCACACAGGCGAACCUGGCUUGCAUCCGUAGAACUCCCUGCCAAUCAGAGCUUGACUCCCCUCUCUUCUCCACCAAUCAAAGCUUGCACCACCUCCCCACCAGUUAAGGCCUUGCACACUGCAAGCUCCCCUACCAAUCAGAGACAGGCUCCCCUCUCCUCUCCACCAGUCAGGGCUUGUGCUACCUCAAACUCAAUUCCUCUGCCAAUCGGAGCCAAGCUACCCACAGCUGCAGAUAAAGAAAGAAUGGCCUUGUCAUCGAAGCCUGCAUGCAUUCACUGCGUCCUCCAGCUUGGUCGUAAAUCUCUUCGUGGAAACCUGGGCCUGCGGGUCUUUGUUGCUGUGUUCUUGUUGUUUAGAGGAGAGAGGAGGAGAAGAGUGAAGAGAGGGGAGAGCAGGGCAGGAUUAAUGGAGCGCCCUCCACACAGCUGACCACUUCAUUGGUCAAUAAGGGUCUGAAACAUCACAGGAAUAAACUGAAAACAUGCGGCUUUAACUCAGAUGUUCGUGGGACUCCUGACAUUGCAGCUGCUUUGACCUCCGGGACCUCUGUCCAGGCUGACAUCUGCACAUGUGAAGAAUUAAGGGAUUUAGUGGAUGGUCAUCAAAAGCCAAUAGUGAUAUAUGACUCCUUAUGCUAAUGACACAAUUCAGGCUGCAUUAAUAAAAAUUUACUUUAUAAAACCAGAAUUGUGUGGUGAACACAUUGAUGUGCUGCCAGAACCCCCUGCAAGGAAGGACUUGGCCUCAGCUGCUGGGGGUGCUAUGGCGAGAUUACUGGGAC
ensembl:lncRNA